AGGUUAAGCUACUAAGAGCAUAGGGUGAAUGCCUAGGCACCAAAAGCCGAUGAAAGACGUGACAAGCUGCGAUAAGCCUUGGGGAGGAGCACAUAUCCUUUGAUCCAGGGAUUUCUGAAUGAGGAAACUCAGCUGGGAAAAAGAGCCCAGUUAUCCACACAUGAGUAAAGUAGUGUGUGAGAAGGGAACGUGGAGAACUGAAACAUCUUAGUACCCACAGGAAAAGAAAGAAAAAUCGAUAUCGAAAGUAGUGGCGAGCGAAAUCGAUAGAGCCCAAACCAGAAUCAGUAAUGAUACUGGGGUUCGGACAGCAUAAUUGAUUAAACGAGGAUAGCAAAACUGUUUUGGAAAAGCAGACUAUAAAGGGUGAAAGUCCCGUAUGCGAAAUUCAAGUUUACAUGGCUGUAUCCAGAGUAGUGCGAGACACGAGAAAUCUCGUAUGAAUGAGCGGGGACCAUCCCGUAAGGCUAAAUACUAAUUGGUGACCGAUAGCGAACUAGUACCGUGAGGGAAAGGUGAAAAGAACCCCGGGAGGGGAGUGAAAUAGAAUCUGAAACCCUAUGUUUACAAGCAGACAGAGCGAUUUAAGGCGCGAUGUCGUACUUUUUGUAGAACGGUCCAGCGAGUUAUAGUGCAUGGCAAGGUUAAGUUUUAAGUAAGGAACGGAGCCGAAGCGAAAGCGAGUCUGAAUAGGGCGAAUUAAGUCAUGCGUUAUAGACCCGAAACCGGGUGACCUAUCCAUGGUCAGGAUGAAGCAAGAGUAAAAUCUUGUGGAGGUCCGAACUGAUUGUCGUUAAAAAGGCACCGGAUGAACUGUGGAUAGCGGAGAAAUUCCAAUCGAACUCGGAGAUAGCUGGUUCUCCUCGAAAUAGCUUUAGGGCUAGCCUUGGAGGAAGACGAAUGGAGGUAGAGCACUGAAUGAGGUAGGGGCCUAACCAGGUUACCGAACUCUAUCAAACUCCGAAUGCCAUUCGUUAAUAUCCAGGAGUCAGACUACGGGAGCUAAGUUCCGUGGUCAAAAGGAAAAGAGUCCAGAUCGUCAAUUAAGGUCCCAAAUGGAUAGCUAAGUGGAAAACGAUGUGAUUUUGCGUAAACAACCAGGAUGUUGGCUCAGAAGCAGCCAUUCAUUAAAAGAGUGCGUAAUAGCUCACUGGUCGAGUGAAAUUGCGCGGAAAAUUACCGGGGCUAAGUUAUCAACCGAAAUUGCGGAUUUGUAAUUUAUUACAAGUGGUAGAGGAGCAUUCUAUUGUAGGAUGAAGUCAGAGCGUGAGCACUGGUGGACGAGAUAGAAGAGAGAAUGCUGGAAUAAGUAGCGAGAGCAGGGUGAGAAUCCCUGCCGUCGAAAGUCUAAGGUUUCCUGGGGAAGGUUCGUCCGCCCAGGGUUAGUCAGGACCUAAGGAGAGGCCGAAAGGCGUAUCUGAUGGAUAGCAGGUUGAUAUUCCUGCACUAUAUAAUACUUAAAAGAUGCAACUGACGCAGAAGUGGAAGGUGAGCAAGGAAAUGGAAAAACUUGUUCCGCAAGGGGGAGUGAAAAUAAAGUAACGAAGCACCAAGAAGCACGCUGACGAGAAAAGGUUGUAGAUCUUGUAUUAUAUACUUGUACCGCAAACCGACACAGGUAGAUGAGGAGAGGAUCCUAAGACGAUCGGGAGAAGCAUUGUUAAGGAACUCGGCAAAUUGACCCCGUAACUUUGGAAGAAGGGGUACUGGUGUAACAGCCAGUCGCAGAGAAUUGUCCCAAGCAACUGUUUAACAAAAACAUAGGUUUCUGCUAAAUCGAAAGAUGAAGUAUAGGAGCUGACGCCUGCCCAGUGCUGGAAGGUUAAGGGAACGUGUUAAUAGUAAUAUGAAGCACCGAACUGAAGCCCCAGUGAACGGCGGCCGUAACUAUAACGGUCCUAAGGUAGCGAAAUUCCUUGUCAGGUAAGUUCUGACCCGCACGAAAGGCGUAAUGAUUUGGGAGCUGUCUCGACAAUGUCCCCGGCGAAAUUGUAGUACUAGUGAAGAUGCUAGUUACCUGCGACAAGACAGAAAGACCCCAUGGAGCUUUACUGCAGUUUGAUACUGAGUCAGGCUAAUUUAUGUACAGGAUAGUUAGGAGACUAUGAGGCUUAAGCGCCAGCUUAAGAAGAGUCAACGUUGGGAUACUAACCUUAAAUUAGUUUGAAUCUAACUCGUGAUCGUAAUCCGGUCAGAGGACAAUGUCAGACGGGCAGUUUGACUGGGGCGGUCGCCUCCUAAAG
rnacentral:rRNA from 1 species